CGGAUGUAUCCGUGUAUUUCCGUGGUGCUGAUGCUGCGCUGAGUGGACAGCUCCUGAAGCUCUUGAAGUGUCGAAAUGCAGAAAUUUCAAUAUCACUUGAAAAAACUGCCAGCUAGCAACGUCCCUCUCACCAACGUGUGUCUUCCUCCAGUCUCAGCCUAUCUGCACCUGAGAGAUUUGGUCAUCAGCCAGUUCCCAUUUAAGCCGAGGAAGAUAUUUAUUCAAUGCUGGAUUGUUGACUAGAAUCCCAGGCUGAGUAAAUGUUCUCACUGGGUUGUGGACUUGUUUCUGGUGUUUCUUUUGACCAGGCCCGUGGCGAGGAUUGGAGCCUUCAGGACACCCAGCUGUCUCAGAACCCAGUCGCAAAGAUUGUUGCUUUUCUGUGUGAUCAUGUGUCACUGUAA